AUUGAACGCUGGCGGCAGGCCUAACACAUGCAAGUCGAGCGAGCGGCGGACGGGUGAGUAAUGUAUGGGGACUGCCCGAUAGAGGGGGAUAACUACUGGAAACGGUGGCUAAUACCGCAUACUAUCGGAUAACCCAUAUGGGAUUAGCUAGUAGGUGGGGUAAAGGCUCACCUAGGCGACGAUCUCUAGCUGGUCUGAGAGGGGGAUCAGACACAAGGGGACGUAGGCCCGGCCCCGGAUCCGACGGAGGCAGCAGGGGGGAAUAAUUGAACACGGGCGUCAGCCCUAUGGAGCCCAUGCGCGUGGAUGGAAAAGGCCUUAGGUUUUUAAAGUACUUUCAGGGGGGAGGCGUUACCCGCAGAAGAAGCACCGGCUAACUCCGUGACAGCAGCCGCGGUAAUUC
rnacentral:rRNA from 1 species